GCCAGUGUGAUUAUAGGAAUCUGUGAAAGCAUGCUUGCCAUACUAUAUCUGCCCACCAGAGCUAUUAGAACGGACAUAUAAAGCUGAUUGUAGAUCAGAUAUUUGGGGUGCUGGUUGCCUGUUCUAUGAAAUGUUAUCUGGUACACCAUUUCUAUAUGAGCAUAGGCACGAGGAGAGGGACGUUAUACACAGAAAAAUAUUUUCUGGUUUGUUGCCAAACACUGACACAUGGAGUAUAGAAAUUAGAAAGAUUUUGAAUUCAUGCUGGAAGGCAAAGAUGGAAGAUAGAAAAAAUUUGGACAUUGUUCUCAAAUACAUUAAGUCAUUGAAAGUCAAAUGAAGGUGCACUUGAUGUAAUGUGAAGGGGAUGCAUCAACAGAUUCCAUUUCUUGUAUAUUUUUCUGAAUUUUUAAAGACAAUAAAUGUUUCAGGUAUUUUUAGUUUGGUGUGCAGACCAAUUAAUAUUGCUUUUGGUCUGUCUGUCACAAAACUUUGAAUUUAACCAUAAUUCUUACAGCCUCUAAACUACACAGGUGCUUGAUAAUGAGUUCUACUAAACAAAGGUCCCAGAGGUCAAGGUUACUUGGGUCAAGGCCGCCAUCAGAGUGCAUGACAUUCAUUUGGACAGACAUAGUGCUUGUCUGAAUUUAUUAGGAAAGAUACAUUGUAAUUUUAAAAAACUACUGAGUUUGCAUUGGGACAGAAUGAAUUUUUAGGCAAUUUUUAUUUAGUAUUUAUAUAAAAGUCACAUAUUGGAAUUAUAAAGGGACUAGGGUUGGAUAUCGUUCUUCACGAAACAGUCCGAUAACGGUACUGACGAAACGAUACGGGUAUUUUAUCGAUACUGAUACUUUUACAAUACCAAACCCGUUGCUGCAAGUAUAAGAACUGAAGAGAUAUAACAUGUAGUAAUAGAAAAUAAAUAUGUUACAUUACUGGUCUUUCUGAAAUUUCAUGCUGUAAAGUAUACUUUUCUUUUGUUGUUUUGUGUUUACUCUUUUUUACAACAUUUACACAUGUUAAUUGUAAAAUACUUUUACUUUUUCAUCAAAAGAACAUGACAUAAUUUAAACACAGCAAAAUAUCUUAUGCAGGACAGCAGUCUGCAGCUGAGAAGUCUACAAAUUAUUGUUUUAAUCUUGAUAUCUCUACAUGCUACAUCUGAAAGAAUUUAAGACAGUUGGUUAUCUAUUAUUUUCUUACAGCUAUUAUUAUUACUGUGUAAAAAUUUUAUUCUGAUGCUGAUAUUCUUUUUAAAUCACAUUAUUGUUUACUGUAAUAAAUGAAAUCACUGGAUUGGUUGGCUUACUUUGCAAUUUGGAAUUACAUGUAAGAAAUUUCAUUAGAUGUUUUUUCAAAGUCACUUAUGUUUCCAGUCUGUUCUACUACAACAGCACAAACAUAUUUUCCACCAGUAAUUAACUUAGAAAUUUUGAAAAACAUGUAUAUGCACAGUCAGCACAGACUGUUUCCAAAAUGACUUGUUUACAUUUUCAAGUUAACCUAAUAUUAGUCCUUGUAGAAGUCAUAAAGCAAAUACCUAUGCUUUA